UACGAAGGGGGCUAGCGUUGCUCGGAAUUACUGGGCGUAAAGGGCGCGUAGGCGGAUAUCUAAGUUGGGGGUGAAAGCCCGGGGCUCAACCUUGGAAUUGCCUUUGAUACUGGCUGUCUUGAGUUCGGGAGAGGUGAGUGGAAUGCCGAGUGUAGAGGUGAAAUUCGUAGAUAUUCGGCGGAACACCAGUGGCGAAGGCGACUCACUGGCCCGAUACUGGCGCUGAGGCGCGAAAGCGUGGGGAGCAAACAGG
rnacentral:rRNA from 1 species